GACAGAGGUGCCGAGCGUUAGGCGGAAUCACUGGGCUUAAAGGGUGCGUAGGUGGGUUGGUAAGUCAGUGGUGAAAUCCCCGAGCUUAACUUGGGAACUGCCAUUGAUACUAUCAGUCUUGAAUACCGUGGAGGUCAGCGGAAUAUGUCAUGUAGCGGUGAAAUGCUUAGAUAUGACAUAGAACACCAAUUGCGAAGGCAGCUGGCUACUCGGAUAUUGACACUGAGGCACGAAAGCGUGGGGAUCAAACAGG
rnacentral:rRNA from 1 species